UACUGGACCAGCUAGUUGUGACCUUACUGGACCAGCUAGUUGUGACCUUACUGGACCAGCUAGUUGUGACCUUACUGGACCAGCUAGUUGUGACCUUACUGGACCAGCUAGUUGUGACCUUACUGGACCAGCUAGUUGUGACCUUACUGGACCAGCUAGUUGUGACCUUACUGGACCAGGUAGAUGUGUCCUUACUAUAUCAGAUAGUUGUGACCUUACUGGACCAGGUAUUUGUGAUGUCACUGGACCAGGUAGGUGUGACCUAAAGUGGACCAGGUAGAUGUGACCUUACUGUACCAGGUUGAUGUGACCUUACUGGAACAGCUAGUUGUGACCUUACUGGACCAGGUAGAUGUGACCUUACUGAUAGACUCAUACAGUUGUGACCUCAUCAAGAAGUAUGGGAAGCAUGCUCCACAGGUGACCUCAACACACGUCAUGGUAUACCUCCAGGCAGGUGUAAGUUUGCAUUAGACAACAAGUGUGUUUAUCUACAUGAAGUCGUGACGACCACUACGAUCUUCACUCCAUGAUAAUUAACCUGAAAAAUGUAUUACCUGAGUUAUAUGUAUUUAUUUUAAUAUAUUAAAUAUAUUUAUAAAAUAUA
rnacentral:misc_RNA from 1 species